rnacentral:lncRNA from 1 species
GAGUUCUGAUUGGCCAAUCGCCGUUAUUUGUGCAGUCCAGUUGGUGGCGGUAAUACACCAUAAGCUGGCUUGUCAACCGCCAUAAAAUCGUACAAGAAGAAGAAGGAUGGACGGCGCACGUGAUUAUCACAUGAUCACAUCACAUGCCUCUCUUUUUUACAGACACGCGUUUGGAGCGAUUGAGUUCGGUAAAGUUGCUAGAUCUUAAGUUGCGAUUGAGUUUUUCUGGCUUUCUGGCUUCGGUUUGCGUUCACACAGAACUCCGGCCAUUUUCAACAUUUUUCCUGAAUCAGAACCCAGUGUAUAUUUAUCUAGAAUCGGAGAACUUCCCCAUUUGCGCAGCGCUAACAUGCCGGCUCGGUUUAACCCGGCCAAACGGCUGAUUUUACUGCCGUGCAUCAUUGUCUGUGCAGGUUGUGCUUCUGUACCGCAGACGUGUGUCCAGUGUUCCCUGUCUUGCGAUGGAGAACCUGAGCCGAAGAAUAAUGAGAGCGUUAUUGUUCUUGUAGAGCAUCUUUCAGAAAAAGUUCAUGAAGAAGUAUAUACGCUCUCAAGUUUGUGUGAUAGAGGACGCUGUUCAGUCCCAGGCUGUUUCCAGAGGGACACACACUACACACUGAAAAUAUAUGCAAAUAACGAUGAUCCGGUGCCUGAAAUAUUGAUUGACAAAUCUAAUUUACGGCCUGACUGUGGUCCAGAGGGCGUAUCAGUCAGGAAAGACCCAAACGGUGCUGAUGGGAAGCACUGUAACAAGCUCCUGAUCCUGCUGGCCUUUUGCUUUUGGAUCGUCUUCCACCUUGAGGGACCAAGAUAAUGUCACAUAUACACAGCAGCUACUCCAGGGCCAAAGAAAUGCUGUUCUUUAUGCACUACAGCAUUACAACACCUGAAACUAUCAUCUCAGGCUUUACAUUACAGGACAAUGGACUUUCUCAGACCAGGAGGCCUCUAUGAUCAAAAAUGCAUUAAAGGAACCAUUGUUUUUGUUAGGCCUGUUUAUAUAUAUACCACAGUUGAUCUGUUAAAAGAAAAUUAUUA